GUCACGAACAUUACAUAGUGUGUAAAAAAGGAAGACAGCCUAUAUAGCUACGAUGCGACAAGGAGGUGGUACCGACGAUGGAUCUCGCUACCAACACAGUGAAGGAGACAUCGACAAACUGCAGAUAACAAAACAUUCUGCUGCUGGAGGCACUCAACCGCCUGGUGGCAGUAGGCGAGCGCCAGGCACGUGCUCUUGAGUGUGUGGCAGAGGUCCAGAGGGCUGCUCUGCAACAGUAGUAUCGGUGCCCUCACUGCUCUCCUGUCGAGCCCACAGAAGGCACCUUAUAAAGGAGCUUUCAGUUUAAUAUUUUGUUUAUUAUUCAAGAAGAUGAAUAAAAUUAUUGCAGUAAACAUUGUGGUGUGCAUAUUAGGAGACUUGUAACAUGCACUUGGUGUCCCUUCAAAAUAGGCAAAAACGUAAGACAACCUGUGCCACUCUUGGACCAUGUAAAUAAAAAAUACACUAAUGCAGCAUA
rnacentral:lncRNA from 1 species